rnacentral:ncRNA from 2 species
AAAUACUUAUUCCAUAAGACUUAUAUAAGACUGAUAAUAUGGUUCAGUCGUUUCUACCGAAUACCGUAAAUAUUCGACUAUGAGUUAUCUGAGGAUUAAU